UCCACGUUGAUUCAAUGUCAGUUUGCUAUCUGGAUUGUUAUUUCGAGAACAAGCUAGCAUUGGUUAGCAUGGCGUAGUCGGCAUGGCAUAGUCGCCUCUGAGCUUUAGUGCUUAGAUUGCUUGUUAUUUCGAGAACAAGCUAGCAUUGGUUAGCAUGGCGUAGUCGCCUCUGAGCUUUAGUGCUUAGAUUGUUUAUUUCGAGAACAAGCUAGCAUUGGUUAGCAUGGCGUAGCAAGCGUGGCGUCCCCAUAGUCUCCUUCCCUUUCUCUGGGAACCGGGUUAAAUGCGUAACGUAACGUAAGGCGUUUUGAUCUCACUUUAUUAACUACUAUACAUACAUCGACAAACUGUACAAUGUACUUACUGUGUUCAUGUCGUAUUGUAAAACAUCUUUGCUGCUAUUGAGAUGUGAUACGGGUAAGGUUAGGGACAGGUGUGCCUGUAUAGGUUGGGUUAAGGGUGGGCUACGGUGUAAGGGAAGAUUCAGCAAGUAAUUACAUAAACUACAGCUGUUUUUUUAAAUGUAAGUACAAUGUAAAAACAUCCAUUGUACCAAAUUAUUAAUUUCAUUGUAAGUGGUUUGUACUUAAAGCCACGUGGGACAAAAAAAAUCUUUUUCAUGAAAAAAAGCAAUUAUGCAGCAAAAUGCUGUGUAAUUGUCUUUUUGCCUGUCAUGCUGAUGUGUCCUUGAAUGUUCAUUGACUCACAACACACACUGUGUCUUAUCCUGACAGAUGUAAUGAUUAACUGUAAACAUUAUCAGUAGGCAGAAGAUCGCAAUGUGAAAAAACACCUGUCUUACAGUAUUUUGAAGAAUUUAAGUUGUAUUUUAUACAUAUACACUGCCUAUAUAUUCUUCUUCAUACCCUAACCCUUGGUUGGUAUGUAUCAGCUUUUGAAUAGACAGCAUUUAGUGUGAUGUUUUCGUUGCACAACAAUAACCUAAUCUAAUCUAUAAAGCAAGAAUGUGCAGAUAAUUAUUAAUUUAUUUGUGUGUGUUGCAUUUUUUUUGCGGGAUUAAAAACAUCCUAAAUAAAUUACAUUA